rnacentral:rRNA from 1 species
GACGAACGCUGGCGGCGUGCUUAACACAUGCAAGUCGAACGGAAAGGCCCUGCUUUUGUGGGGUGCUCGAGUGGCGAACGGGUGAGUAACACGUGAGUAACCUGCCCUUGACUUUGGGAUAACUUCAGGAAACUGGGGCUAAUACCGGAUAGGAGCUCCUGCUGCAUGGUGGGGGUUGGAAAGUUUCGGCGGUUGGGGAUGGACUCGCGGCUUAUCAGCUUGUUGGUGGGGUAGUGGCUUACCAAGGCUUUGACGGGUAGCCGGCCUGAGAGGGUUACCGGCCACAUUGGGACUGAGAUACGGCCCAGACUCCUACGGGAGGCAGCAGUGGGGAAUAUUGCACCAUGGGCGGAAGCCUGAUGCAGCAACGCCGCGUGCGGGAUGACGGCCUUCGGGUUGUAAACCGCUUUCGCCUGUGACGAAGCGUGAGUGACGGUAAUGGGUAAAGAAGCACCGGCUAACUACGUG